UCAAAUACUUUUUUACUGGAGUAAAAUUUUUGGCUACUCUACCCACCUCUGUUUGUGUUAAACUAAAUAUCCUCUCUAUGCACGUUGAAAUUGCCCAUUUAUAUAUAAAAACUGGGUGAACAGUAUUAGAAAUGUUAGAUCAGAUGAUUUACUGUAAAUAGUUCCGCAGUGCGUUUGCUCUGUAGUGUUUUGUGUGCAUGCUGUGUUGUGAAAUGACCUCUUUCCUCUGAUCUUUGCCCGAAGCCUUGUUCCGGUCCAGGCCUCAUCUGUCAUCACUGUUAAUCUCCAAGCAUGUGUUUCUCCACACUACAUGCACACGUGUGUGUUUGGAUGCAAACUCACACACACCCUAGCAGGAGGAGAAAAUAUUGGGCGCCAGCCCCUCCGAAGCCUGGCACCGACAUCACACAGCAAACCAAGGAAGAGAUGAGUCUCUUUGGAGAUGGCAGAGCGCCGCCUUGGAUCUCUGCUGGCUUGGACUGCAGCUUCGCUGGCUCUUGGAAGCUGAUCUGGAGCACUAUUUUUGGAAUAAAAUUUUCAGCGGUCAGCUUGGUUUUCUUCUUCACUCUGAGUGGUGACAAGGUCUUCCUCACCCAGCCGGGUUUGUAGCAGCUCCCAAUGUUUUGAUCUUUAUAAAUAUUCCUGUCAUUCCACUUAUAACUAGAACUUUUUGAUUGAUGGGAGGAACAUGAGACAAAGUCUUCCAUCAUCUGAGAUCCCAAAGUGAUUCUGGAGGAGCUGCAGAGAUCAACAGCUCAGCUGAAAAUCAGUGAUACCUGAAGAUGAAGAUGUAGAGCACCGAGAGGUUGAGAGGAAGUCCCAGAAUGAACUCCACAGUUAACAAGCCAGAAAGGACUUGAUUUUCCUCUCUUCCCUCUUAAACAACAAAUUCAACAGUUCCUUUCACGGAUCCUUGCAGUGAUUGAGAAAUCCAGACAAUCCUUUGCCAUCCAUGACAAAAGAUCCCAGG